GUUGGACCUUCUCAUCAAUCCCUUACGCUUCCCUCUCUCCGUAACAGCCUGCCUCCUCAUCUGCCCCCCUCGUCUCUUCCUGCCUCUCCUCUCUCCUCCUCCUCUCUCACUCAUCUCGUCUCCUUGAGAUUUGUUGAGUUUGACCUUGAUCUUGUGCCUUGCUGACUGUGAUCACCUGACUAAUGUUAUGUCUCCCCACUGUUCUGCUCUCCUGACCCCAAACCCCCAAACCCCCAGCUGUUGUUGCUCAUGCAAGCUCUGAUAUCCUGACUUGUCUUUUAAACCACUUUUCAGGGGUCGUUGGUUGGUUGGUUGUGUGUUUUAUGGUCUGUGCAUAAGAUAACAGCACAGUGGUGCCUGUUGGUGUGUGAGACACUUCAUUUGACUGAGCAUGCAGUUAUUUCCCGUUUUCUCUUGUGUCUCUCAGUGACUGUCACUCCUGGCUAUUUCUGCUGCCGAGGUAUCUACAUUUCUCUCUCUGCUGCUCUGUCACGCUGCGUCCAGCUGUCAGUCUCCAUCUUUAACCACUGCUCUGCUCUCCGUGUCCAUAUGGAUGUGUGUGUGUGUGUGUGCGCAGUUUCUAACUGGUCUAAGGUCUGUGUGUGUGUGUGUGUUUAGGCAUUGAUGUCAGUCAUGCUUUCUUCACUCACGAUCACGCAGGGUUUGGCCAACCCCCUGGUCUUUAUUGUAUUAUACUUUUAAUUAGCUUUUCUUUUAAAUGUUAUGACUGCAUGAUGAGGAAUGUCUCAGCAAAUAGAUAUAAACGUAAAACUGUUGUCUAGUCGUGUUUUCAUGUUAAAAUGAACAUCACACGGGGGGCGGUGGGAGUAAGACCUGGGGGGCGUGGCCAGCCCGCGUUCCCAACAGCGCCGGCUUCCAACGUGGCUCCUUUAAAUGCGCCGGCUGGUUGGUGGGAGACGCAAUUACAGGGUGCACCUGGCUUGGAUGGCGUUCAGGGACGUAAUUGCAGGGUGCACCCGUCUAAUUGAGCGGUCUUGCCGUUGGGUUGCCGGGGGACGAGGCCGCGAGCUGCACUGCUGCUACGGCCAACUGCAGCCUUCUUCUCCACCUUCCUCUGCCUAUUUUCACUUAUUAGUUUUUCUUCCAUCCUUCCUCGUGAUUUCCUGUCCUGUCAUAUUUUUGUGUGUUCCAUUUCCCACUGCUGUCUCUGUCUGUCUCUCUGUCUCUGUCUCUGUCUCUCUGUGUCUCUGGCUGGCUUCUCCAGGCUUGUUGUCGUCUGCUGGGGCUGCUGCACUACUUUCUGUACAUGAAUGCUGUCGCGGCUCGUUUUGAAGAGGUUUUGACUCCCGCUUAGCUUAAACCGGGCCUGAGACCUGUCCAGACCCGCUGUGGACACACGGCUGAGAUGCAGCGAGACGCCCAAACGAGUGGAGACCGGAGACCCUGCAGAGGAAGGACAGAAGAGAGGCUGUGCUUUUUGCUCGCACCGACCUCAGAUCUUUCUUCAAAUACACAAUGAAAGUGUCUCCGUCACUCUGUGGAAAUGUCUUUUUUGACAGACCAGGGAGACGCGUGCCAUCGCUUAACGGAUUGGUUCAACAUUUAGGAAAAGCAGCGUGUGCCUGGAGUUCAUUUCCCCUCAUGUGAAACACCCGCACGCUGCUGUAAUCUGUUUUCUAAAAGCUUCUAGUGACUCGCUGACAUGUAGAAGAUCUUGCAAGAUCAAUGCAUCUGGAAAAAAAUAAUAAUAAUUGAAUUAACAACAUUAGAUUGUUGGACAAAGACAAGCUUCCUGACCCAGACAUCUAGAAGUGAGUCACACCGAGCGAGUGAGGAAAACCCAAAUGUUGAGCUGUUCCUUUAAAGACGCAGUCGGUGGCUUUCUAAUUGAGUGGUGCAGAAGAACCUCCGGCGGGCGGAGAACGUUUUCACUGGUGAUGAGCGGAGGAUGAGGAUCCGCGGGCUUCGCUCGGUGAACGUUCGCUGCGUAUCGAAUGCGCUUCCACUCACACGCGGUCGCUCAGCGCUCCCACCAAGAACAACUGGACCCGCCUGCACUCACCGCCCCCUGGACCCCCCCUCCAAACAUCCACCCUGCACUCUCAAAAGAAAAGUGCACGGAUGCUGACGUCUGCAGCCACGGAAGCACCGACUCUCUCCCUCCCUCUGCUCGCUGCCUGUGCCUCCCCCCCCCCCCUCCCCUAUCGCCCCAUCGGAGGAACUGUUAUCCGGCCUAGAAAGUAACUCAUUGUCCUUUUCCCCGUCUGUUUCCCUCCAGCUCGCGGCCGCACCAACCUGGAGCUCCGGGAGAAGUUCAUCCUCCCAGAAGGAACGUCUCAGGGUCUGGCCACCUUCCGCUCGCGGGGUCGCCGCUCCAAACCCGGCUCCCGCAACGCCUCGCCCACCCGCUCCUCCUCCUCGGCCUCCCACAGCGGGGCCUCCCUCCCCUCCGCUCCCUCCACCCCCGCCACGCCGACGGCCUCCGCGUCGUCCAGGUCCUCCCACACUCACUCGCGUGACUAUGCCAAGCCCUGGCUGUCACACAGUAAAACUCCAACGUCAGCCAAGUGCCACUGCUGCCCAGAUCUCGGUCACGGCCACACCACUCCUGGGCACGAGGGGGCGCCGUCAGGGUCCAAACUAAAGAGGCCCACGUUCCACUCGAGUCGAGGCUCGCUGACUGGAGAGAACGGAGGGACGCCGCACUCCAGCAAGCCGGCACGAGCCGAUCCCAAACGAGGGGCCUCCACAGCCAGCGGGCCGGCCAGCCGGGCCGGCAGCCGAGCCGGCAGCCGAGCCAGCAGCCGGCGCGGCAGCGACGCCUCGGAGGCAUCGGAGCUCCAGGACUCCCACUCGGUCUGCUCCGACGCCUCGGACACCCCGCGCCGCCCCGGGGCCAAACCCUCCAAGAUUCCCACCAUCUCCAAAAAGGCCCCCAGCCCAAAGAACCCGGGGACCACGAAGAAGUAACUCCCGCCGCCGAGAAACUGGAGCAGACCCGUUUCAUGAAGGGGAGGGGGGGGGACUACUUUAUGACUCUUCAGUCCCAGAUCCAUCCACGGGGCUCACACAGUCUGUGCACUGCGACUGAUAUUUUCCAGCGAAGAGGAGAUGAAUAUGAUGAGUAAGUGUCUUUCUCACUGUGCUCGGUUUCCUAAACGGACUGAAAACCUGGACAAGAGGAGCACUGCCAGAGGCCGGCGGGUCGGACUGGACUCCUCCUCUUUAAGAAGCGACCCUCAUUUUGCCUUCCAGUCUCCUGCUUCGUCUUUUAGAACCAAACACAGAACCGACCGGGCGCGAUGCUGCCUUACUCACACGCUCGGGUCCGGAUCGGACCGAGCGGCCGCUUCGUACCACACUGACACACAGACACACACGGGGAGUGGAACCGCCACAGAUACAGAAACAAGAAAAGGACGUUCAAGAAUAAAGAAUCGCGAGUCAUUAUUUUUGCCUGUGGGCCGGACGCCUCAGCGAUGAGUUUAAAAAGAAAAUAUGCAACGACCGCCAUGUGGCCUCCUACGGACUGGUUGGCGAGGAAGGCGGUCAGCUCAGCAGAUCCGCAAAGCGCGCGUGGAGCAGCCGAGGAGGCGGGAAACGAUGCCCGACGCGCGCACACACACACACACACACACACACACACGGCGGCUGGCCUCUGACUCGGAGGGUCGCCGUGGUGACUGUGGUGACGGCGGUGUUGCUGCAGCCGAGGACAAACGCUCACACACUCAAACGCCGCAGAGCGGACUCCUCCCGACCGCUGGAACGCCGGCGUCAGCCUCGCGUGUGCGUGAGCGCGCAUUUCAGCAGAGGGCAGUGUGGUUUUGUCGUGGAGAAUUACAACGCGGUGACUCACCCGGCUAACGGCACGUAUGAUAUACGACAUGUGAAACCCGACGUUCGACAGCCAGCAUGCACUAAUCGUCUCUUCCUCCGCAGACCCUCCUUCAUGUCAACGCACCCAGCCGCACACACACACACACACACACACACACUCUCUCUGACACACGGCGGUGUGUGUUACGUGUGUCAUUGUUACAGGAAAUGAUCGAGGUCGUCGACUUGAGUCACUGUAUGCAAAAAAAAAAAUGAAUUUGCGAAUGUGAGUUUUGUUUUCUGGUUAAUUUAUAAUCCAGUUGUACUUUAAUUUAGCUUGAAAGAAAAAUCUAUUUAUUUUUCAGUGUCAUGUCAUAUCACCUUUCGCAAAGAGAUUUAGUAUUAUGGUUAUUGUGUUUUUUUGUACAUCACUCACUCGGUUUCUAACCCUGGUGGCGGCCUUCUGCUCAUUUUUCUUUCGUUUUGCUAAUGACUACAAUUCCCAGACCACGACCAAAGGGUUCGCCCUUCAAGUCUAGAGAGAACUAAACUUUGUGAGUGACAGGUGACCCUGGGCAGAUGGGACCAAUGAGAGCAGGUUUCCUCCCUCAUGUCCCUCCCCCACGUCCCCCCCCCUCUUCUUCUAGGCUCUUUUUCAAAUGCCGAGUUGUCUCAGUGUGAUCUCAGUCUAAGAGAUGAAGUUUAUGAAAAACAAAUGAAAUUACAGUAAGAAGACAUCUUAAGGUGAUUUUUAUUUAUUUAUUGUGUCUGAGGGGGGGGGGGGGGGCUGUUGAUGCUGCGCUACUGUGUGAUGGCGACCUCACGGAGGGAGGGGUGUUAAUGACACAACGGUGUAAAACUAAAAUUAUAAACAUGUUUUGUUCUGUUUUUGUAUUAAAAAUAUGCUUGCAAUAAAACCCUUUUGUUUCUGA
ensembl:lncRNA